GACGAACGCUGGCGGCGUGCUUAACACAUGCAAGUCGAACGGAAAGGCCCUGCUUUUGUGGGGUGCUCGAGUGGCGAACGGGUAAGUCACACGUGAGUAACCUGCCCUUGACUUUGGGGUAACUUCAGGUAACUGGGGCUAAUACCGGAUAGGAGCUCCUGCUGCAUGGUGGGGGUUGGUAAGUUUCGGUGGUUGGGGAUGGACUCGCGGCUUAUCAGCUUGUUGGUGGGGUAGUGUCUUACCAAGGAUGUGGAGGGUAGCCGGCCUGAGAGGGUGACCGCCCACAUUGGGUCGGAGAUACGCCCCAGACUCCUACGGGAGGCAGCAGUGAGGAAUAUUGCACGAGGGGCGGAAGCCUGAUGCAGCCACGCCGCGUGCGGGAUGACGGCCUGCGGGUGGUAAACCGCUUUCGCCUGUGACGAAGCGUGAGGGACGGUAAUGGGUAAAGAAGCACCGGCUAACUACGUG
rnacentral:rRNA from 1 species